rnacentral:misc_RNA from 1 species
GUCUCGUAGGUGACCUGCGGAGGGAUCAUUACAAGUGACCCCGGUCUAACCACCGGGAUGUUCAUAACCCUUUGUUGUCCGACUCUGUUGCCUCCGGGGCGACCCUGCCUUCGGGCGGGGGCUCCGGGUGGACACUUCAAACUCUUGCGUAACUUUGCAGUCUGAGUAAACUUAAUUAAUAAAUUAAAACUUUUAACAACGGAUCUCUUGGUUCUGGCAUCGAUGAAGAACGCAGCGAAAUGCGAUAAGUAAUGUGAAUUGCAGAAUUCAGUGAAUCAUCGAAUCUUUGAACGCACAUUGCGCCCCCUGGUAUUCCGGGGGGCAUGCCUGUUCGAGCGUCAUUUCACCACUCAAGCCUCGCUUGGUAUUGGGCAACGCGGUCCGCCGCGUGCCUCAAAUCGACCGGCUGGGUCUUCUGUCCCCUAAGCGUUGUGGAAACUAUUCGCUAAAGGGUGUUCGGGAGGCUACGCCGUAAAACAACCCCAUUUCUAAGGUUGACCUCGGAUCAGGUAGGGAUACCCGCUGAACUUAAGCAUAUCAAA